rnacentral:rRNA from 1 species
UGAGGGAUAUUGGGCAAUGGGGGAAACCCUGACCCAGCGACGCCGCGUGAGGGAAGACGGUCUUCGGAUUGUAAACCUCUGUCUUUGGGGACGAAGAAGGACGGUACCCAAGGAGGAGGCUCCGGCUAACUACGUGCCAGCAGCCGCGGUAAUACGUAGGGAGCGAGCGUUGUCCGGAAUUACUGGGUGUAAAGGGAGCGUAGGCGGGAUUGCAAGUUGGAUGUGAAAACUGCGGGCUCAACCCGGAGAGUGCAUUCAAAACUGCGAUUCUUGAGUGAAGUAGAGGCAAGCGGAAUUCCUAGCGUAGCGGUGAAAUGCGUAGAUAUUAGGAGGAACACCAGUGGCGAAGGCGGCUUGCUGGGCUUUUACUGACGCUGAGGCUCGAAAGUGUGGGGAGCAAACAGGAUUAGAUACCC